UCUUCUUUAGAAUUUCAAGCAUAAUCAAAGGGGCAAAAGGAAAGAAAAGUUUCAAAACAUUAGAAAACUGUACAAGUUUAAAAUUAGCCAGAGGAACUAAUGUUGUGGCAUCCAAAUCUAGUACAAGAAGAAAGAAAUGUCAGCAUACUGAGGGUCACCAGAGGGGAGAAUUUUUGCUGGUCAGCACCAACAUUUAACAGAUCUCCAGUGCUUGUUGCCAGUGUAGGAUUA